CUACGGGGUGCUGCAGUGAGGAAUAUUGCACAAUGGGGGGAACCCUGAUGCAGCAACGCCGCGUGGAGGAUGACGCAUUUCGGUGUGUAAACUCCUUUUAUAUGUCAAGAAAAUGACGGUAGCAUAUGAAUAAGCACCGGCUAACUCCGUGCCAGCAGCCGCGGUAAUACGGAGGGUGCAAGCGUUACUCGGAAUCACUGGGCGUAAAGGACGCGUAGGCGGGUUGGAAAGUCAGGUGUGAAAUCCUACAGCUUAACUGUAGAACUGCACUUGAAACUUCUAACUAGAGUAUGGGAGGGGGAGAUGGAAUUAGUGGUGUAGGGGUAAAAUCCGUAGAUAUCACUAGGAAUACCUAAAGCGAAGGCGAUCUCCUGGAACAUUACUGACGCUAAGGCGUGAAAGCGUGGGGAGCAAACAGGAUUAGAUACCCCGGUAGUC
rnacentral:rRNA from 1 species